AUUUUACUUUCUGUUUCUGUGAAUUUGACCGCUCAGGACUACCGCGCCAUCCCAGAGCUGGACGCCUAUGAGGCCGAGGGACUGGCUCUGGAUGAUGAGGACGUAGAGGAGCUGACGGCCAGUCAGAGGGAGGCAGCAGAGCGGGCCAUGCGGCAGCGUGACAGGGAGGCUGGCCGGGGCCUGGGCCGCAUGCGCCGUGGGCUCCUGUAUGACAGCGAUGAGGAGGACGAGGAGCGCCCUGCCCGCAAGCGCCGCCAGGUGGAGCGGGCCACGGAGGACGGCGAGGAGGACGAGGAGAUGAUCGAGAGCAUCGAGAACCUGGAGGAUCUCAAAGGCCACUCUGUGCGCGAGUGGGUGAGCAUGGCGGGCCCACGGCUGGAGAUCCACCACCGCUUCAAGAACUUCCUGCGCACUCAUGUCGACAGCCAUGGCCACAACGUCUUCAAGGAGCGCAUCAGCGACAUGUGCAAAGAGAACCGUGAGAGCCUGGUGGUGAACUAUGAGGACUUGGCAGCCAGGGAGCACGUGCUGGCCUACUUCCUGCCUGAGGCACCAGC
rnacentral:sRNA from 1 species